CUCUCAGAGCACCCUGGCUAAUGGGCCAAGGAGUGAUCGGUGUCUGGAGCACAGCCGGGACUCAACCGUGUACAAAGAGUGGGAAUGCGCUGCAGACCUUCUGCCUGGGUGGUCUCAACCUCAUCCAGCUUUUAUCGAGUAUUCCCCACCUAGCAGCCCAUUAAGGACUUUUCCAGCCCCAAUUUUGCCACGCAACGGUUUCUGCAAUGCCUGGAAACAAGGAACGUGUGCUUUGAGAGUCUCCCUUUAAGGCAGUAACAGGCUAAUGACAGAGACUUAAGAAAUGCUUCCUAGCAAUCAAAAUGCAUUAUGUCUAAAAGCGUCCCAUCAGAGGGAAACCAGGGAGGCGCCCAGAAGUGAAAGUGCUGGAUCAUAUGG